AAGCUGAGCAAUCCCUUCACGGCCCCGUACUGUUCAACAAAAUCUGCCUUGAAUGGAUUCUUUGGGGCCCUCAGCCAUGAACUUGCAAUGAAGAAAAGCAACGUGUCCACCUCUCUAAUCACACUGGGACUAAUUGAUACCGAAUCAGCUUUGAACGCAGUCAGGGGAAUCAUCACGACACCAGCCUAUCCUGCGACAGAAGCUGCACUGAAUAUCAUUGUAACAGGAGCAACAAGGCAGUCAGAGCUGUACUAUCCCUGGUACACAUAUGUCAUGAAUCUCUUCAAAGACUGGUAUCCCUCUCUAACAAAUCAUCUCAUCCAGAACGCCCUCAACUACGAUCCAUAGGAAACAUGUUGAGAUGUUCUUUGGGUUUUUUAUUGUACGUUUUUGAUGCACACAGGAUUUUAUGCUCACAUCAAAUAUAGCUGAAAAUGUCUGAUUCUGAAAUUCAUUUGAAUGUUUCUCAGAUUUAGGCUUCUUAAAGAAAUGUACCUGUUUUGUGUCAAAUGAUUGCACAUCCUGAUUUUUUCCUGAUCAUCAGAUUAAAAUCACACGUGAAUGUGGUUUCUGAUA